rnacentral:misc_RNA from 1 species
GAUGAAGAACGUAGCGAAAUGCGAUAAGUAAUGUGAAUUGCAGAAUUCAGUGAAUCAUCGAAUCUUUGAACGCACAUUGCGCCCGCCAGUAUUCUGGCGGGCAUGCCUGUCCGAGCGUCAUUUCAACCCUCGAACCCCUCCGGGGGGUCGGCGUUGGGGACCUCGGGAGCCCCUAAGACGGGAUCCCGGCCCCGAAAUACAGUGGCGGUCUCGCCGCAGCCUCUCCUGCGCAGUAGUUUGCACAACUCGCACCGGGAGCGCGGCGCGUCCACGUCCGUAAAACACCCAACUUCUGAGAUGUUGACCUCGGAUCAGGUAGGAAUACCCGCUGAACUUAAGCAUAUCAAUAAGCGGAGGA